UGCACACAUUGGAGGCAGAGUUUGCUGCGGGCUCUGUCUCCCUAAUAGACUGGCGAUUUUGUAAAAAGGUUUGAGAGGGUUUUGUUUAACCAUUUCUGCAUGUGUUUUUAAUGAGCUCAUGAUGAUUCGUAACAAAGGCCAGGUUGUGAGGUUUGCAGCCUUUUUUUUUUUUUUUUUUUCCGGACUUGAUCGCUUCCCGCUGACCUGCAGAGUGAGCACCUGUGCUCCUUGCCUGGCUCACCUAUGGGAGUCACGGUGGUGGGGCCAUCUCCGGGCCUGUCUUCAUGCCAGGGAUGAAUCAUGCAGUGGGCAGGGCGGAAGGACUCUCUUUGUUGACAGCUUUCCAUCUGGACUUUGGAUACGGCCGGCCGUUCAUGGAGAGCCUGGGUUAGCUGGGAAGGACUGCUGGAGUCAGCUCCUCGAUGAAGGCCCGGGGGCAGUAAAACUCCAGCAAAGGAACUGCCUAGCAUUUCAGCUGCAAAUUCAGAGAGGCGUCCCUCCCAGCUCCAGGUACCCAGCCUUCCAACUUGAGUCUAGCCCAAAGCCUGCACUCUAAUACAUAUCAUACUUGAUAUUAAAGUGAGAAGCGGGUAAUUUAUAGGAGCUGCGUGAGAGCUGUCUUCUUUUCAGGGCCAGCCUAUGUGGAAUCGACACCUCUGUUCAGUUUCUCCACAGAGCUUCCUUUGGACAGCUGUCAGCCACCUUGCAUCACGGGGCCUUGCAUAUGAAAAGGCUAAUUGUGAUCCUUAAGCAGCCUUCAAAGGAAAGCAUGCACAACAGACUGCUGCCCAGACUACUGCCCCUCUGAUAAGAGUCCAUGGAACCCAACUGCAAAUACUGAUCUCCUUUAUUGAAUACUGACUGAUGUGCCUUGUGAGCUCAGCGGUGGGUAGUCAAACAAUCGGAGCUGAGAACAGAGAAAGCACCUCCUCUCUACUUGUUUGGGGCCCAGAAGAGAGGUUCUGUGUCCACGAAGAACUCUGCCCUGGCACAGCCUCUGUCUCCUGGGACCUGUCCUCAGAGGGACCCUCUCCACUGACCUGGAACUUUCAGUAAAUGUCUCUUCUUGGCCUGGCUGGCUGUAAAGGCAACAAGCUGUGAGAUACACCAACUUACCGUAUAAAUCUUUGCCACCAUGUUUGAUGCGGCAUCUAGAACCAACCAAAUUCUGCCUCGAUUUGGCGGCCGAGGAGUUCAGAUUGAAGUGCCCAAAGAGAGUCUUUGGAAAAGCCACAAAGCAGGGUUUCAACUCAGUAAACUUUCUGUUCAUUGCAGGUAAGAAAAAUGAGGCUCAGAGAGGAGACAUGACUGGCCCAGAGUCACACAGCUGGCUUUUAGUGAAGACAUGAGACUUGGUAUUUUCCCCCAUGUACUUCCAUGUACAUGUACCAUGUACUCUUGGUGCUACUCAGAGCGGUAAAGGGGAUGGUUGCACCCUACAUCACCCUGGCUCAGGGAAAUGCUCAUAUUCACUUCAUGUUUGGUGGAGAAAACUACAGUGUAAUUAUUCUGACUGUGUAUGUUCCCUGGGGUACCUGUGCCUUCUAAUGGGAGCUAGACUUCCCCGGGGGCCACGUGGACAAAACCUGGCCAGCGGCCUCAGCCCGACAGACUGCAUCUCCUCUUUGUGUUAAGGACUCAGUUUAUAUUUCAUUGGCGUCCUGAGCUAGGGGGUGGGAGGUGCUUGCUUUCCUUGGGAAUGUGGAUUUGAGGUUCAUGGAGCAGGUUCCGAUCUAAGAAGGAAACAGCUUCUUACUUGCUGGAGCCUUUCUGGACUGUGUAUCAGACUCUCUGUAUUUACCACUAACUUGGUUGUUUUCAGAAGCACCUAUUUGCACAGGUCUCAAGGAGGUGUGCCUGGUGAUGUGGAUCAGGCAUCUUCCAUGCAGACUCCCAAUCUCCAGGAGGGUGCUCACAGGCCUAGAUGCUGUAGCAGAACCCCCCCACCUCUCCAUCCCCCUUUCUUGGAGUUGAGGGGGAGGUGAGAAGGGACUUGGCUCUGUGCCUGGCACACAGCGAUCCUCCGGGAAGGCGCCAGCUAUUACUACAGCUACUGUUGGUAUUACUGUCACAGCUUCCCACAGGCUGCUUCCUGCCAGAGCUGCGACCUGGAGGGGAGGGAGUGAGAUGGGAGAUAGGAGCCGUGGAGUGUGGAGGUCACUGCCUUCCCAGGCCUGGCCUGGAGAGACACACCCUGCCGCCCUUCCCAGCCUCCCUUGCUCCCUUUGCAUGGUCAUUCCUACACACCAUGGCAUUCACUACCUGCGACCUGAGUGUCUGCUCCCACUCACUUUGGGGACUGCGAGACCUACUGUGAAUUGGACAUUUGACGGUGACUCACAUCAGCUUCAGGAACGUGGUGGUUCCCAAGAACUGUGAUACAGAAGAAGCAAGACUCCCAAGGGUAAGGUGACAUGCCCAAGGUCAUACGGAGUGAUGGGUUGAACUCUGUCCAGCCCCAAAGCUGGUACUGCAGCUGCUUGCUUAGGAACGCCUGCUGCAGAGCACCAGACACACUCACCGACACUUUGCCGUCCAUGGGAGGGGAGUGAUUUUCCUUUGCGAUUCUUAGAUUCUGGGCUUCCCAGAUACCUUCCAAUGAGCUGCAUUACUAGGGGUCACUAACAGUGUGCUAGCUGUCUUAUUUAGGGUUUCUAUUGCUGUGAAGAGACACCAUGACCCCGGCAACUCUUAUAAUGGAAAAACAUUUAAUUGGGGUGGCUUGCAUUUUCAGAGGUUCAGUCCAUUAUCAUCACAGUGCAACAUGGUGGCAUGCAGGCAGACAUGGUGCUGAAGAAUUAGCCAGGUGUCCUAUAUCUUGGCUUGCAGACAACAGGAAGUGGUCUGUCUCAGUAGGUGUGGCUUAAGCAUAUAUGAGACCUCAAAGCCCGCCUCCACAGUGACACACUUCCUCCAACAAGGCUACACCUCCUAAUAGUGCCAUUCCCUUUGGGGGCCAUUUUCUUUCAAACCACCACACUAGGUAUCUCAUUUAUACUCUGUGUAACCGUGGGUAAGGGUUCUACACGGGUUUUCUUCUCUCUUUUUUUCCUGUACCCUCCCCUGCCUCUCUCUUCUUUCCUCCAUUUAUUUUGUUUGUUCUUUUGAGAUAUCAUAUUGCUGCAUGUAGCCCUGGCUGGCCUAGAACUCAUGGCAAUUCUCCCCCCUCUGAUUUUAUAAUCCAGCCCCAUUUCCUGUUCUUUCUCUGCUUCCUGACUGCUGAUGAAAUAUGAGCCUCCUGCUCAUGCCACCGUGCUUUGUCCACCAUACUAGAAAAUGGUCCCUCAAAUUGUGAGCCUGAAGGUGCCCAUCCUUUCUCAAGGCGUUUUGUCCCAGAGACAGGAGAAGUAACUAAGACAGAGAAGGCCCAUGCACAAAAAAGGCUUGCUUUAGCAGUCCAUGCUGAUACUGGGUUAAGGUGGAACCCUUAGGAGUGGGACUUAGUAGGGAAAAAGCUAGGUCCCUGUGGGUGUGACCUUGAAUGGGACCCUGGCUCCUUUCCUAGUCCCCAAUUGUUUCACAAUUGUUUGAUCUGCCAAGCGUUCCCGCCAUGAUGUGCCACCCCACCACAGGCGCCAAGGCAAGGGAACCAUGGACUGGAGAUUUCAAAAAUUGAGAGCAAAAAAGAAAAAAGAACCCUUCCCUUCAUAGACGCUGAUUAUCUCAGUGUUCUUGUUACAGGGACAGCAAGCUGACAGGACUCCCCAAGUGCCCACCUUUCUGCAUUCCAUUGCUUGCCCAGCCUGACCUCUUUCUCUGUGUCCUCUACUCCUCUUUCAAAUGCAGAGAUGUAUCGUAUCCUGAUCACAUGAGGUCUGGAGGUUACUUGAUUCAGGGCAGUGUCUUUGAGCAAAAGAACCCCCAAAAAUGCAUUACUUGGGGAAACCUCACAAAAACACAUGGAGAUGUGAACUCAUCUCUGCGAUCCCUCCUAGGAACUUGGUAAGGACCCAUGUUAGCUUGGAGACCUGAAGGCUCACCUGCACAGGCCUCUGGUGUUACAAGUUGAUCCAAAGUUCAGCUUAAUCAACACCAGGAAGUAAAAUUAAACAAAGGCAUAAAACUGAACAAAAGUGAAAACUUCUAUGAAGCCUCUUGGGUUAAGAAGCAGAGAGGUGAGCUUUGACGUCUCCUAUGAUGUGGAGGUAAGAGCAUCUAUCGACAGUCUGGGAGGAGUCAAUAAGGUAACGUGGAUGCCCUGGUCUCAUCCCUUCCUCAUAACUAGUGAAGAAACAAAGAGAUUCAUGGACUUUUUAAGUCCUCUACAAAAUCUAUCCCCAAGUCUUGUAUACACUAGGCAUUCUAUAGUUUACUGAAUGAAUGGGUGGGUGGAUGAGUCAUUUUGUCAAGAAGGAAGUUCAUCCUUGGGAGACAGCUUGGGACUCCACCUAAAUGAGUUUUCCAGUGGGGGCUGUUCAUUCUUCGUCCUUCACUGGUGGCAGUCAACAAAAAGGCAGGAAGGAUACACAUCUGGCUGAGGAAGUGGAGAUCAGCUGGGGUGGUGGGAAACUCUCUGACACAGCGAUCAGGGAGACCCUGCUUGGGCUAAUUAGGAUAUGUUAGCUUGUGCCCAAACUAGACAAGACUGUCAAGUGGAAUUCAGGAAGCUAUGUCUGAUGACCAGGUCAUGGAAUAAUGGUGGAAAUCUCCUUAUUCUUUUUGACCAUUUUGCUGCUUAGGGAGCAGUCAUUUCACAGACUUAAUCUUCUUAGGGAAGGUACCUUUCUGUUUGCUUCUCAAGGACUAUUAUAAAGACUACAUGCAAAAAAAUUAUGUAAAAACAUGUUGUAAGCCAUAAAUACCACAUAAAGGUUGUAUGUUACUGUUACUAUUAUCACCAUUUUGGACUCAUUCCUCUUCUCCUCCUCCUAGGACUCCCUCCUCCUCACCCCUGCAUUCUUCUUAAAGACCCUAUGUCCUACCAGCUUACCUGAGAUGUCCUCAACUCCACAAACAUAUGUGCUCCUUGACCCCUGUGACCAGUGUGACCAAGAUUAUCUGUACCAAUAUCUGCCUAUUCAGAUCCUGGGUAAAGAAUCUCUUCUACCACACACUUGCGCUACCCCGGUGUUCUACCCGAUAGAAGAGGACCAAGCAACCAUGGACCGAAGCCUCUGAAACCGUGGACCCAAUAAGUUUUUCAGAUUGUUUCUGUCAGAUCUGAUGUGACCAGCCAACUCAAGCUCUUGCAGUUAUGAUGUCAAUGCAGUGAUGGACUACAGCCUAAACUGUGAGCUGAAAGAAACUCUUUUCUACGAAAGUACUUGUUGUCAAGGUGUUUUACCACAGCAUCAGAAAUGACACCAGGACACAUCCUCAUUGUUAUGUUUCCAUAUAUACGCAAAUUAAUUCAUAUAUGCUAUCAAUUUGUUAACUUUGAGCUCAUGGCCAACAGUACUUUAACUCACCUGGCUGAGUUGAAACUGAGUCAAGAACAGCUUUAGGGAAGUUGUGGCGCUUGAGUGGAGUUUGGAAAAGUAGCUUCAGCGAAUGGCGAGCACACUAUUCCCAUAAUACUCGCUAGAAUCCGGGUGUGUGCCAAGGGCUCCAGAAUACAGGUUUGUGUCAUACUUAUUGGCCUGACCACUUGCUGAGCACUGGGACAGAAGCUUCACCUAAGGCCACCUGGGAAGAAGAAACCUCACUUGAAUGCCUCCAUCACAUUGGCGUGUAGGCAAGUCGGCAAGGGGCAUUUUCUUGAUUAAUGAUUGAUGUGGGGGGGCCCAGCCCACUGUGGGUGGUGCCACUCCUACCCAGGCAGACAGUCCUGGGUUGUACAACAAAGGAGGGGGAGUAAGCCCUGAGGAGAAAACGGUAAGUAGCGUUUGUUUCCCCCUGGUCUCUGAUCCUGUUCCUGCCUCCAGGUUCCUGUUCUGGCUUCUCUCAAUGAUGGACAAUAAUGCACACUCAUCGUAAACCAAAAAAAACAAAAACAAAAACAAAAACAAAAACAAAAACCCUUUCUUCUCCAAGUUGCCUUGGUCAUGGUGUUUUAUCACAGCAGUGGAAAGCAAGGUAAUAUAGCAGUGGCAGUUGUGAGGAUCAAUAACUUAUCCAAUGUUGCAUGGCAAAGAACAAAAAAAAAAAGCCGGGCAAUGGUGGCGCACGCCUUUAAUCCCAGCACUCGGGAGGCAGAGCCAGGCAGCUCUCUGUGAGUUCGAGGCCAGCCUGGGCUACCAAGUGAGUUCCAGGAAAGGCGCAGAACUACACAGAGAAACCCUGUCUCGAAAAACCAAAAAAAAAAAAAGGUUCUGAACUUGGUCUCUGACCCCCAAACUGCCAUUUAGUUUAAUUUAAUUAAUUUGAACCAGUUCAUAGUUCUCUAUUUCAUAUGAAAUCCACGCUGCCUGACUUACCCAUGGAGCCAGAGUGAAUCAUCUCACUACUGAUGGAAACAGGUUAGCAGACAACCGUUUCAUAUCAGACACGGAGCGGGUGGCCGGAGAUGGAGGGCAUGCCUCUGUCCCUUGUGUUUGACUAGCCCUCUGCUUUCCCGUGUGUUGUUAUGUCACAGGUCCUUGUAACAUCCCCAAAAACUCCUCCCUGGAAUUUUACUCACAGGACACUCAUUUUGAGGGAGGGUGAGUGAGAGAUCCCCGAGAGACAGGCAGGUGGCCAAUCAAGGCAGAAAUGGGAACUUAGACCGCAAACCUCCAGCCCAGUGUGCUCUGCCCUUGGCCUUCCAGCCAUCCUCCAGGACCAUUUGCAGGCAAAGCCAGUAGCCACUCUAUCCACAGUUUCACUUUCUGUGGUUUCAGUUACCCACAGCCAGCCACAGCUAAAAAAAAAAAAAAAAAAUUUUUUUUUUAAACGGGAAGUUCCAGAAACAAACAAUCUGUAAGUCUUAAGUGGCAGGCCAUUUUGCAUAGCAUGCUAAAAUCUCUAGACAUGAGUGUCUUCCCUUGGUUCAGACUGUCCACACUGUCCACACCACCCACCUGCUAGCCACUCGGGAGCCGUCUUCGUUAUCAAGUCAACUGUCAUAGUCACACAGUCCUCAGGGAGGCCUGUCGUAGUAGCUUACUGCCACAGCGUGGUACUUACGUCAUUUAGCUCACAUCUCUUCACAUAGCCAUUGUAUCAUCUCCCAUCACAGGAGAAAGGAUGGAUGUGUCUCGUUAAGGUAUUUGGAGAGUGAGGAAAAAGUACAUUCAUAUAAAUGUAACUUUUAAUUAUGGCAUUUGUUCCCCUUGUUGUACCUGUGAUUAAUUAAUAUUUUUUCCUGGGCCUAAUCUAUAAAUCACUGUUUCCGUAGUUGUAGAUACAAUCCUGAACAGCAUAGCUGAGAUUUGGUGCCUUCUGCUGGGUCUACACCCACAGAGAAACUUACACUAUGUGCGUGUGUGUUUGCUUGUGCAUAUGCACAUCUGUGCAGAGGGAACUGUCUGUCCCAAUCUAUUGCUCUCUGACCUGGUUCUCUUGAGACAGGCUCAUCACUGAACCUGGGACUAUGUGGACAUCCUCCUAUCUCCAUGCCGCCGCCAUGGUACCGGAGCCACAGGCAUGUGCAGCUGCGUUAGUUUUCACUAAUGCUGGGGAUUUGAACUCGGGUCCUCCUGCUCAUGCUCUUACCCGCUGAACCAUCUCUCCAACCCGACUUUCAUCCUUUGAAACUUGAGUGUACAGGCGUGCACUGGCUCCUGCCGCUCCAAGCCUCCCCCAGACACAGUUCCUGUGCCUGGGUUUGCUUUAGCAAAUGGGCGGUGUGCUGAGGCCCUCACGGGCCCCUGUCCUGCAGCAGACGUGAAGGGACACGGGGCUCUUCCUCCUUCCAGCAACAGGAGAAGGAGUGUGAGCAAGGCCCCUCCUGGUCCAUGAAGAGCUGGUCUACAGGGGAGGGAAAGACUAGAAGCUGGCUCUGUUUCCCAGAAUUAAUGGUCGGCUUCUGCCGAGGCUAUUUGCACUGUAAACGAAAUUAAACAAAAAGCAGAGAUGAAACAAAACAACUGAAAUGAUCAAAAAGCAUUCUGGCGGAGGGUGUGAAACACACUCUCCCGGCAAUGCACGUCCAAGUGUGUGCACCUAUUGGAAGAUGACUGCUGAGCAGUACCCACGAGAGGUCCCUGGUCAGGGUGACAGCAGGAGCAUGCAUUUAAAGAGGAGCCUGCCAUUCCUCGCAUUAGGAAUCGUCACACAUCCUAGUAGUAGGUAGUGAGUUUUACACGUGAUGGAGGGGCCUGAAUUCAAAAUUUUUCAAAAGGGGUCACUAAAACUCCAGCAAUUUUAUUCCAUUAAGAAGGGGCAGUUCUUAGCAUCUUUCUGUCACAUCAAGCAGUUUUGUGGUAGUCUCUUUCUAUGGAAAGCUUUGUCUAGUUUUCUAUCUGCUGUGAUAACCUCGGUUAGUCAAGCUGCCUGCCAUCCUCCCAUCUCGGGCUCUGACUUCUGUCAGCUCAUCGACACUGGGUAAGGUCAGUUCUUGGGAAGAUGUACCUGAGGGCCUCUGAAGGAUGAUGUCCUUGCUACUGGGUGAGCAGACUCUGAGAUGAUGAACUUCAUAUCCUAAAAGACCAAACAAAAUCUACAAGCGUCUUCUCCCUUUUCUAAGACCCUCCCUGCCUACAUGUGUUCAUACUGAGUGCACCUAAGUUUCCACUCCAUCGGCAGAAUUGAUCGUCGUUGUCUGCACUGAGACUUGGGUGUCUGUGGUCUUUCUUGAGCACAUUGGUGUCCUUCUCAGCAACUCUGGAAUCUUGUAAAACCAAUUUGUCUGAAGCUGCUUCAGCCAGUCCUCUCUUCAAAGCUUCGUCUUUAUUAUUUUUCUCUAGUUUUAGAAAUUUAAGGCUCAGCAGUGUUUUUAAAUGAUUUGAAGGAGCCAGCGAAAGGGAUCAGUUGAUAAAGGUAUUUGAGGCCAAGCCUGAGGACCUGAGUUCAACUCCCAAAAUUCACAUGGUGAGAACUAAUUCCCACAAGUCUUCUGACGCCCACCCUGCCCCCACGCACUUACACAGAAAGGCAUAUGCACACACAGAGGCAUAUGCACACACACACACACACACACACACACACGAAUACCACAUGCACAUGUGCACACACAAUAAAUAAAUACAUUUAAAAAUAGAAGAAUGAUGUGAAGAUUUUAUGCAUGUGCUGGACUAGUUGAUCAAAUAUUAUUGUAGAGGGAAUUAGAACCCCGGUCCUUGAGGUAGGAAAAUAGAAGGUGGUCAUAGACUUCCAUUUUACAGUUAGUACAAUGACAGGAAGUUUCUAAAUGUGACUUUGAGGUGAAGCAUAUUAUAAUUUAUCGCAUCAGAGACAUCGACAAAAUGAUGAACUUUAGUCCUGUCUACCUGGGAUCCUCAACUGGUCAAAUUCCCUACCCUGCUGGCCUGCCUAACCCCAUCUCCUAACAUAUUCUAUAUUCAAGGCAGAGACAGUAGAGCCCAAGAAAGCGAACUUAUCAUAGCUGUGACCUGGGAAAUGGGACCAGACUGAUGAGUGCUCCCUUCCUGUCUCCUCAUAAAUAAUAGUGACACAGCUAAGUCUUGUUGAGCAGUUGUUAUGUGGCAGACACUGUGCUAAGUGGCUUACGUCACUGCCUCUGGCUAGCCUCAUGGCAAUCCCACGACUACGUCAUCAUUUCUAUUGUCCUCUGUGCAGGUGAGUUUUAAGCAACUUGCUCAAAGACAAAGCUCCAGUCUGAACCCAGGUUGUACAGUCCCAGAACCCACACUCUGUCCUUCAGCAUGACUCUCAACUACAGAAAGGAAGUUUCUAGUGACAGGGAAGAGCUGAGGUUCAGGAGGACUUGCCAUCAUCUGGCAAGACGGCUCAGCAGGUAAAGGAACUUGUUGCCAAGUCCUCAAGUUCAGUCCGUGGAGUCCAUCUGGUACAAGGAAAUAACAGACUCUCCUAGGUGCCUCUACGUGCAUAUGAUGGUAUGUGUGCACCUAUCCACACAGAUAGAUAGAUAGAUAGAUAGAUA